AAUUAUCAACCUUUCCAUAAUUUUUUAAUUAUUGGUUAGGCUUGGAUGUGAGGGGUUUUGCAGGCUUCUCAAAAGUCAGCUCCCUUUAAAUUUAUUAGUCGAACCUUUGUCGAACUGUCUAAUAGUGUGAUAAUUAUCUACGCUAUUGACUAGACAUUAAUAGGAUUCAGCUUAUAACAGUCCAUUCACUUGGACAAUUUUUGACA
rnacentral:misc_RNA from 1 species